rnacentral:rRNA from 1 species
AACGUAGGGAGCGAGCGUUAUCCGGAUUCACUGGGCGUAAAGCGCGUUGAGGCGGCUCCGUAAGCUGGGCGUGAAAGCCCCGGGCUUCACCCGGGGAGGCCGUCCAAUACUGCGGGGCUUGAGGGCAGCAGAGGGAGGUGGAAUUCCCGGUGUAGUGGUGAAAUGCGUAUAUAUCGGGAGGAACACCCGUGGCGAAGGCGGCGUCCUGGGCUGCUCCUGACGCUGAAGGAGAAAGCCAGGGAAGCGAACGGG